rnacentral:rRNA from 1 species
GAUGAACGCUAGCUACAGGCUUAACACAUGCAAGUCGAGGGACGGGCGCACGGGUGUGUAACACGUAUCCAACCUGCUCUUUACUCGGGGAAAGCCUUUCGAAAGCAAGAUUAAUACCCGAUAUAAAGGAUGGGGAUGCGUUGCAUUAGGUUGUUGGUGAGGUACAGGUUGGCCAGGCAUUGGAUGGAUAGGGGUACUGAGAGGAAGGACCUCCACAUUGGAACAGAGACACGGUCCAAACUCGUACGAGAGGCAGCGGUGAGGAAGAUAGGGCAAGGAGUGCUAGCGUGAACCAGCCAAGUAGCGUGAAGGAUGAAGGCUUAUGGGUCGUAAUCUUCUUGGAUAUAAGAAUAGGUAUUAUAUGAAUAAGGAUCGGCUAACUCCGUGCCAGCAGCCGCGGUAAUUC